rnacentral:rRNA from 1 species
AGUGAACGCUGGCGGUAGGCCUAACACAUGCAAGUCGAACGGCAGCACAGUAAGAGCUUGCUCUUACGGGUGGCGAGUGGCGGACGGGUGAGGAAUACAUCGGAAUCUACUUUUUCGUGGGGGAUAACGUAGGGAAACUUACGCUAAUACCGCAUACGACCUACGGGUGAAAGCAGGGGAUCUUCGGACCUUGCGCGAUUGAAUGAGCCGAUGUCGGAUUAGCUAGUUGGCGGGGUAAAGGCCCACCAAGGCGACGAUCCGUAGCUGGUCUGAGCGGAUGAUCAGCCACACUGGAACUGAGACACGGUCCAGACUCCUACGGGAGGCAGCAGUGGGGAAUAUUGGACAAUGGGCGCAAGCCUGAUCCAGCCAUACCGCGUGGGUGAAGAAGGCCUUCGGGUUGUAAAGCCCUUUUGUUGGGAAAGAAAAGCAGCAGGUUAAUACCCCGCUGUUCUGACGGUACCCAAAGAAUAAGCACCGGCUAUCUUCGUG